CCUACGGGGUGCAGCAGUGAGGAAUAUUGGUCAAUGGGCGCGAGCCUGAACCAGUCAAGUCGCGUGAGGGAAGACGGUCCUAUGGAUUGUAAACCUCUUUUGUCGGGGAGCAAAAGACGCCACGCGUGGCGUUCCGAGAGUACCCGACGAACAAGCAUCGGCUAACUCCGUGCCAGCAGCCGCGGUAAUACGGAGGAUGCGAGCGUUAUCCGGAUUUAUUGGGUUUAAAGGGUGCGCAGGCGGAAGAUCAAGUCAGCGGUAAAAUUGAGAGGCUCAACCUCUUCGAGCCGUUGAAACUGGUGUUCUUGAGUGAGUGAGAAGUAGGCGGAAUGCGUGGUGUAGCGGUGAAAUGCAUAGAUAUCACGCAGAACUCCGAUUGCGAAGGCAGCAUACCGGAGCUCAACUGACGCUCAUGCACGAAAGUGUGGGUAUCGAACAGGAUUAGAUACCCCAGUAGUC
rnacentral:rRNA from 1 species